AGUGAACGCUGGCGGCAGGCCUAACACAUGCAAGUCGAGCGGCAGCACGGCAAUAGCAAUAUUGUGGGUGGCGAGCGGCGGACGGGUGAGGAAUACAUGGGAAUCUGCCCAGUCGUGGGGGAUAACGUAUGGAAACGUACGCUAAUACCGCAUGCGCCCUACGGGGGAAAGCCGGGGGACCGCAAGGCCUGGCGCGAUUGGAUGAGCCCAUGUUCGAUUAGCUAGUUGGCGGGGUAAAGGCCCACCAAGGCGACGAUCGAUAGCUGGUCUGAGAGGAUGAUCAGCCACACUGGAACUGAGACACGGUCCAGACUCCUACGGGAGGCAGCAGGUAGGGGAAUAUUGGACAAUGGGGGCAACCCUGAUCCAGCCAUGCCGCGUGAGUGAAGAAGGCCCUCGGGUUGUAAAGCUCUUUUGUUCCGGAAGAAAAGCAAUCGGUUAAUACCCGGUUG
rnacentral:rRNA from 1 species